rnacentral:rRNA from 1 species
AUUGAACGCUGGCGGCAGGCUUAACACAUGCAAGUCGAGCGGAGCGGCGGACGGGGGGGUAAUGCCUAGGAAUCUGCCCGGUAGUGGGGGAUAACGUCCGGAGACGGACGCUAAUACCGCAUACUAUAAGAGGAGCCUAGGUGGGAUUAGCUAGUUGGUGGGGUAAAGGCCUACCAAGGCGACGAUCCGUAACUGGUCUGAGAGGAUGAUCAGUCACACUGGAACUGAGACACGGCCCAGACUCCUACGGGAGGCAGCAGUGGGGAAUAUUGGACAAUGGGCGAAAGCCUGAUCCAGCCAUGCCGCGUGAGUGAAGAAGGUUUUCGGAUUGUAAAGCACUUUAAGUUGGGAAGCGUUACCUACAGAGUAAGCAACGGCUAACUUCGUGCCAGCCGCCGCGGUAAUAC